rnacentral:misc_RNA from 1 species
UUGCACAAUGUACAUUUCCACUGGAAAAUAUAUGGUCAUAGGCCAAAAGUUCAAUGCUCCCAAGAUUCCUAAUACCUGGUUGAAAUAUGGAAAUGCCAUUGCUAUUGCUGUUGUAGAUAUAACAUAUAGAGUUCGAAAACAUAACCGGAAGAGGUUCAACUGGAGAGCUGGCAACACUGGGAGUUUGAUGGCGUAGAAAUUAUUUAUGAAUCUGUUCUGAGGGUACUUCUGAGUUGCCCAUUUUUCAACAAAUGCGAAUACUGGCUGGCUGUAUACCUGAUACCCUCCAACCAGAUGGAGGACUAUGCAGGCAUUGGCAAAAUCAACAAGCCAAAACGGCUCGUAGAAACCUGUCAAGAGGUUCCCUGGUGUGUCGUUCCCAAAGGCUGCAUAUCCGAAGCAACUACAGCAUAGAUAGAAGAAAGUGGUGAUAACUAUCG